rnacentral:tRNA from 1 species
GCAGUAGUGGUUCAGUGAUAGAAUUCUUGCCUUCCAUGCAGAAGACCCAGGUUUGAUUCCUGGCCAGUGUA